rnacentral:lncRNA from 1 species
GUCACGUGGGAGGAAGGGGGGGUCACGGGGGGGAGGGUCACGUGGGGGAGAAAUGGGGAGGUGGGGGGGGUCACGUGGAGGUAGUAGAUCUCUAUGUGUCCCUAUGUGUCUCUAUGUGUCUCUAUGGGUCCCUAUGUGUCCCUAUGUGUCUCUAUGGGUCUCUAUGGGUCCCUAUGGGUCUCUAUGGGUCUCUAUGUGUCCCUAUGGGUCUCUAUGGGUCCCAAUGUGUCCCUAUGUGUCCCUAUGGUGUCUGUGUGUUCCCCCAGGACCCGUUCUGUGAGUGGCAGCCCAGCUCCCAGGUGGGUGAUUUUAUCUGCAGCCGCCGCGGCCGAAUGGACGGAGCCGUGAGGGACCCCAAAGAGUGUCCGGAACUGUGCAGCAGGUGGGAACCGGAACAGGAAGUGAGGGGGACAGGAAAAGAGGGGGGACAGGAAGU